ACGGGUGAGUAACGCGUGGGUAACCUGCCUUAUACAGGGGGAUAACAGUUAGAAAUGACUGCUAAUACCGCAUAAGCGCACAGGAUUGCAUGAUCCGGUGUGAAAAACUCCGGUGGUAUAAGAUGGACCCGCGUCUGAUUAGCUUGUUGGUGAGGUAACGGCCCACCAAGGCGACGAUCAGUAGCCGGUCUGAGAGGAUGAACGGCCACACUGGAACUGAGACACGGUCCAGACUCCUACGGGAGGCAGCAUG
rnacentral:rRNA from 1 species